UGAGGAAUAUUGGUCAAUGGCCGGGAGGCUGAACCAGCCAAGUCGCGUGAGGGAAGACGGUCCUAUGGAUUGUAAACCUCUUUUGUCAGGGAGCAAAAACUGCCACGCGUGGCAGGAUGAGAGUACCUGAAGAAAAAGCAUCGGCUAACUCCGUGCC
rnacentral:rRNA from 1 species